UUCAUACCGUCACAGCUACGCACGACUUCCAUUUAGUCCACACGAUUUCUGACGGGACUUCACGACAAAAUUACCGUGCAAUUACGAUACGCCGAACAUUCGAGUUCAAUACUGACUCUGAAAUUUUUCUGAAAGCGAAAGACACGCGCUUCUCUCCUGGAAUCGUCAGUGUCAUCAGGUUAUCGAGCUAUGACCGAUAAUGUUUAAGCGGGGUUACACACCGUGCAUGGCACAGUUGUUAGUCGCCGGGUAUUAGUUGAGAAGGAUGCGUACAUUUUACACGAUUCUUAUACUCGUGAUCCUCUUUGUGAGCCUCGGCGAAUGUUGGUCCUUCUCGAACAUCGCGAUGUCCAUCGACAAAUUGAUACGGCCGCAAAACACCUCGCAAGUUUUAAAUAUUAACGGCAAUGGCAGCGCUACAUCAACGGCAUCCCCGGAAGUCACGGUACAAGGAAGAAUAAUAUUCGUACCACGAAGGAAUAAAGUCUACUGUCAACCGGGUCAGCAAGCCGAUCGGCGUGGCAAAUGUAGACAAGUGUGGUGAUGCUUGUUUUGAUAAAUACGCAAGAUUAUUUAUAGACAAUUGGACCACUCCUGUUUGUGAAAGAAAAUAUUCCCGGGAAAGAGAAGAAUUAACAGGAUUAAAA